rnacentral:lncRNA from 1 species
GGUUUCCAAUUGAAACCUUUCUUUCCUUAUUUUUCUUCUACAAUUUCAUUUUACACUAAUAAUUUCUAACUCAUCUUUAUUUCACAAGUCUGGAAAAAUAGCGAAAAGAAAAUCUUUAAAAGGGAACUUUUUGUAGCUCCAACAUGGCAAUGGCUUCUAGUUUUCCGGGUGAGUCAACGAUUUUAAUAUGUAGAAUCUUUUCAGAUGUUGUGGCAAAGGAUAUAAUAUAUGCAAUGCAAAGUCAUCUCAAUAUAUCAUGGUCCUUAGUCUUACAGCUUGUAAAAUGGUAUUUAGCAGAAGCAAAUUUUGCAUGUCUUUUUUUCCAUAUAUUUUUGGCACUCUAGAAUACAUAUUCACAUGAUGUUCAUAUAGGUUAAGUUAAAUUCAUGCUAAAUAGAUAUUCUAUUUUUCUUUCUUCAAGAUCGUUUCGAGUACGUACUCUAUAUAUAUAUAUAUAUUGCAGCAGUUUUCAAUGCGUUGGCUACCUAAAUUUCGACUUGUAGUUUUGACUAGUAUACGACUAUAUCAUGCAUACAUUUCCUCUAUCAAGAAAAAUAUAAUGCAGUGCAUUAUACACAUGAUAAUAUUUUCAGACCAUUAGGUGCUCUAUAAAUAUUAAACUAUAUUAUAGUAAAAGCAUUCCCAGUUAUGUUUAAUUAAAAGGAAAAAAAACAUAACAUGCUUACAUGCAGAAGAAGAUGUCAUUUACUUAAUGAGAAAUUGAAAAAAGAGGAACUUAAAGAAAUAUUUCCAACUUUAGUUUAAUUAUUAUUUUUUGAACAGUUAUGGUAGACCACCUUUUAACGGUGACCAUUAAUCAUUAUACUUACUUCCGCACAAACUUAAGGUGUGUUUGUGUUGAUAGAAUUUGAAUUGCAUGACUGAAUAUUUAUUAUUACUAGAAAUAUUUGCAUCCUUAAGGUAAUUUUCAGUCUCAUUUUAUUGGACCUUAUAACAAUAUUAUUCGAGAAGUAAAAUGAAAGUAAAAGAUGCAUGUAUACCCAGAGAUACCUACCAAUCGCAUGUGCAGUAUAUUUAAAAUAAACAGACUGGUAGCUGCUUUUAGUUGAAGUUCUGAAUAUUUGGUCUAAGGAUGGUUCUUCAUGUUGUUAGACAAAACCUUGACAAUUGAAGACAUAAAGAAGAUAUAUUCCAGUACUAUUGUAGUCCGGUACAUGGUUCUUCAUGUUGUUGUCAAAUAUCAAGGAAGGUGUGUAGACAAAACCUUGACAAUUGAAGACAUGAAGAAGAUAUAUUCCAAAACUAUUGUAGUCCGGUAAAAGAAAGUUAAAAAAAAAAGAACCUGAAAGUCUUGUAAAAGAAAGUAAAAACCCUAAUGACAUGGAAAUAUGUUGUUGCAACUUAAUUUUGCAUCUAGAGCUUUGGAGGUGUUAAGAGGAGAUGAUAAAUAAAUAAAUGUUAGGGUUUGUUAUUCAUGUAAAAUUUUAGGAGUCUCCCUACUAAAAAUUCAGUAAAAAACGAUCACAUGUAACAACCAACAUUAAUCGCCUAUCUCAAUAUAGCACCCAAAAUGCGUCCAAAUAGGUUUGACCGCUAUAUUGGUGGUCCUUUUUGCUUAGUGACCAAAGUUGGUCGCUAAGGUAAAAUGAUCAAAUGUUCAGUGUAAACAAAUUACCGACCAAUUUUGAUUUAAUAAUAUAAAUUUAGCGACAGACAUUGGUCUGAAUAUUUAAAUUACGAUAUUUUUUAAUCAUUAUAAUUCAACAAUUAGCGACCAACGUUGGUCUGUAAAUUAAAAUAUAUAUAUUUAGCAAUUUGGGUUCAUAAUAGCGACCAACUUUGGUCGCUUUUUUUAUUUUUAAUUUUUAAUUUUUUUAUAGAUAAGCGCCAACCUUGGUCGCUAAUUUCCAGGAUUUAAGAAAAGAUAAAAUCCGGGUUCAUUAGCGACCAACCUUGGUCGCCAAUUUUUAAUUUUUAAUUUUUUUUAAAAAUAUAAGCGACCAACCUUACUUGCUAAUUGCCAGAAUAUUUUUUUUAAUAGGUUAGCUACUAACUUUGUCGCUUUUCUGAGUAAUAAUUUUGCCAUAAAAUGCCUGUUUUGGCAGCUACACCACCUGCCAGCAUAUCAAAAUCCCUAAAAUAACAAUAUAAUUCAAUUCAUAAACUAUAAUUAAAAUACCAAAAUCUCAGCAACAACAACACAACAAGAACAAGAACAAGAACCACAAUAACAACAACAACAACAACACAAUUUAAAAAAUACAUUAAAACCAACAAAUUAAAGUUCAAUAGAACUAACAAUUAAACUAACAAUACUAAGUGAACGUUUAUUACAACUACUUCAAAACUGGUUCUAUUUGUCUAGUUCAAAGUAUGUAAAAGUCAAGAAGUGUUUUGUACAAUAUCAUUAUCAUUACCGUCUAAUGAAGUUUCAUCAACAAGACAGUAUACUGGGUCCCAAAUUAGCGACCAAAGUUGGUCGCUACUUGCUUUCCCUUUCAUGUCCGACCAACUCUGAUCGUCAAUUUUAAAUAAUAUUUAUUUAUAUUUUAAAAAAUGUUUUAAAUAAUAAUAUAAUUACUACAACUUUAUAACUGGAUCCCACGUUAGCGACCAAAGUUGGUCACUAAUUUAAAUAUUUCUUUGACCAAGCAAGUCUGAUCAGCCCGGUCAAUAUAUUGACCACUUUACCGACCAAAAAAUGACCAAUCUUGGUCGGUAAAUUAUUUAAAAUAAUUAUUUAAUACUUUUCUCCAUAUUAGCGAUCAACUUUGAUUACUUUUACUGACCGACGAACUUUUGUUGAAAUUUUUGAUCGGUAAUUCCCAAAAUUUUUAGUAAUGUCUAUGCUUGGUUUAGAUUAAUGUGAACUUUAUAUUCAUCCUGAUGUGUUCGGAUUACUUUUAGUUAAAGCCGCCUUGUGGUAGCAAGGAUAUUGACAUUGACUUCUAUCUUGUAUAUUAAAAUUCAAAAUUUAAUUACAUAGAGAAAGGGACCUAAAAUCGAACAUCCUCUCUAAUUAUUGACAUGCCUAACUCAACAAAAUAUUGAUGCAAGUGCAUGUUAUUGCAUGGUAUACUCGAUCCAAAAUUUAUUUUCUUAACAUGGCAUUUGAGCCAAAAUUAUCAUAAUUCAUAGUUUACUCGAUUUUUGCCCUCUUUUACAAUGUCACGCACCAGAUAUCUAGUCUUGGGUGUGGGAGGGGAUAUUUUGUUUACCACAUCUUGUGGAAUGCAAUAUAUUCGGUUUAUUAUAUGGUCUUGGGCAAUAUUACUUGUUCAGCUGGCUCUAGAAAUAAACUCAAACAUACAUAUAUUUAUGGCAUUACAAUAUGUGCAGACCUCACAUACAUAUUCCAUUACACGAUAACAGUUAAGAUACAUACUUAUCAAUUACAUAGCAAACAAUAAAGACAAGCUAGAACAUCAUCAAGAGAAAGAAUGGUUUGCUUACAAUUAAUAAGAAUCCAAAUUCUUCUUCUAUUUCUUAUAUAACCAUGUGAAGGUAAAUAGAGAAGGCACAUAAACAUCUUCAUUCAUCCACUCUCUUGUUGAUUAUUUUGAUUAUCCUGUGUAGGAGUAACCAAAGGAUCAAAAUCUGGAAACAUGCCAUUGGUAAUUUGUUGGUUUUGGCUAUUGAACAUGUCUUCAUUGAUUAAAGAAUUCAAGAAUGAGGAGAAGACAUCGUCCGUGCAACAAUUCAUUUCAUCAUCUUC